AAAGACCCCGUGAACCUUUACUACAGCUUGGCACUGAACAUUGAACCUACAUGUGUAGGAUAGGUGGGAGACUUUGAAGAUGAGACGCUAGUCUUGUUGGAGUCGUCCUUGAAAUACCACCCUUGUAGUUUUGAUGUUCUAACGUUGGCCCCUGAAUCGGGGUUACGGACAGUGCCUGGUGGGUAGUUUGACUGGGGCGGUCUCCUCCCAAAGAGUAACGGAGGAGCACGAAGGUUGGCUAAGUACGGUCGGACAUCGUACGGUUAGUGUAAUGGUAGAAGCCAGCUUAACUGCGAGACAGACACGUCGAGCAGGUACGAAAGUAGGUCAUAGUGAUCCGGUGGUUCUGUAUGGAAGGGCCAUCGCUCAACGGAUAAAAGGUACUCCGGGGAUAACAGGCUGAUCUCCCCCAAGAGCUCACAUCGACGGGG
rnacentral:rRNA from 14 species